rnacentral:rRNA from 1 species
UACGUAGGGUCCAAGCGUUAAUCGGAAUUACUGGGCGUAAAGGGCGCGCAGGCGGCUCUUCAAGUCAGAUGUGAAAGCCCCGGGCUCAACCUGGGAACUGCAUUUGAGACUGGAGAGCUUGAGUUCGGGAGAGGAUGGUGGAAUUCCCAGUGUAGAGGUGAAAUUCGUAGAUAUUGGGAAGAACACCAGUGGCGAAGGCGGCUACCUGGACCGGUUCUGACGCUGAGGCGCGAAAGCGUGGGUAGCAAACAGG